AGAGUUUGAUCCUGGCUCAGGAUGAACGCUGGCGGCGUGCCUAAUACAUGCAAGUCGAACGAGUUCUCGUUGAUGAUCGGUGCUUGCACCGAGAUUCAACAUGGAACGAGUGGCGGACGGGUGAAUAACACGUGGGUAACCUGCCCUUAAGUGGGGGAUAACAUUUGGAAACAGAUGCUAAUACCGCAUAGAUCCAAGAACCGCAUGGUUCUUGGCUGAAAGAUGGCGUAAGCUAUCGCUUUUGGAUGGACCCGCGGCGUAUUAGCUAGUUGGUGAGGUAAUGGCUCACCAAGGCGAUGAUACGUAGCCGAACUGAGAGGUUGAUCGGCCACAUUGGGACUGAGACACGGCCCAAACUCCUACGGGAGGCAGCAGUAGGGAAUCUUCCACAAUGGACGCAAGUCUGAUGGAGCAACGCCGCGUGAGUGAAGAAGGCUUUCGGGUCGUAAAACUCUGUUGUUGGAGAAGAAUGGUCGGCAGAGUAACUGUUGUCGGCGUGACGGUAUCCAACCAGAAAGCCACGGCUAACUACGUGCCAGCAGCCCGCGGUAAUACGUAGUGGCAAGCGUUAUCCGGAUUUAUUGGGCGUAAAGCGAGCGCAGGCGGUUUUUUAAGUCUGAUGUGAAAGCCCUCGGCUUAACCGAGGAAGCGCAUCGGAAACUGGGAAACUUGAGUGCAGAAGAGGACAGUGGAACUCCAUGUGUAGCGGUGAAAUGCGUAGAUAUAUGGAAGAACACCAGUGGCGAAGGCGGCUGUCUGGUCUGUAACUGACGCUGAGGCUCGAAAGCAUGGGUAGCGAACAGGAUUAGAUACCCUGGUAGUCCAUGCCGUAAACGAUGAAUGCUAGGUGUUGGAGGGUUUCCGCCCUUCAGUGCCGCAGCUAACGCAUUAAGCAUUCCGCCUGGGGAGUACGACCGCAAGGUUGAAACUCAAAGGAAUUGACGGGGGCCCGCACAAGCGGUGGAGCAUGUGGUUUAAUUCGAAGCAACGCGAAGAACCUUACCAGGUCUUGACAUCUUUUGAUCACCUGAGAGAUCAGGCUUCCCCUUCGGGGGCAAAAUGACAGGUGGUGCAUGGUUGUCGUUAGUAAGACUGCCGGUGACAAACCGGAGGAAGGUGGGGAUGACGUCAAAUCAUCAUGCCCCUUAUGACCUGGGCUACACACGUGCUACAAUGGAUGGUACAACGAGUUGCGAGACCGCGAGGUCAAGCUAAUCUCUUAAAGCCAUUCUCAGUUCGGACUGUAGGCUGCAACUCGCCUACACGAAGUCGGAAUCGCUAGUAAUCGCGGAUCAGCACGCCGCGGUGAAUACGUUCCCGGGCCUUGUACACACCGCCCGUCACACCAUGAGAGUUUGUAACACCCGAAGCCGGUGGCGUAACCCUUUUAGGGAGCGAGCCGUCUAAGGUGGGACAAAUGAUUAGGGUGAAGUCGUAACAAGGUAGCCGUAGGAGAACCUGCGGCUGGAUCACCUCCU
rnacentral:rRNA from 1 species